UGGCUGGUGUUCUAACGUAGACCCGUAAUCCGGGUUGCGGACAGUGUCUGGUGGGUAGUUUGACUGGGGCGGUCUCCUCCCAAAGAGUAACGGAGGAGCACGAAGGUUGGCUAAUCCUGGUCGGACAUCAGGAGGUUAGUGCAAUGGCAUAAGCCAGCUUGACUGCGAGCGUGACGGCGCGAGCAGGUGCGAAAGCAGGUCAUAGUGAUCCGGUGGUUCUGAAUGGAAGGGCCAUCGCUCAACGGAUAAAAGGUACUCCGGGGAUAACAGGCUGAUACCGCCCAAGAGUUCAUAUCGACGGCGGUGUUUGGCACCUCGAUGUCGGCUCAUCACAUCCUGGGGCUGAAGUAGGUCCCAAGGGUAUGGCUGUUCGCCAUUUAAAGUGGUACGCGAGCUGGGUUUAGAACGUCGUGAGACAGUUCGGUCCCUAUCUGCCGUGGGCGCUGGAGAAUUGAGGGGGGCUGCUCCUAGUACGAGAGGACCGGAGUGGACGCAUCACUGGUGUUCGGGUUGUCAUGCCAAUGGCACUGCCCGGUAGCUAAAUGCGGAAGAGAUAAGUGCUGAAAGCAUCUAAGCACGAAACUUGCCCCGAGAUGAGUUCUCCCUGAGACUU
rnacentral:rRNA from 3 species